UACAGAGGUCUCAAGCGUUGUUCGGAUUUAUUGGGCGUAAAGGGUGCGCAGGCUGUGUGGUAAGUUUGGUGUGAAAUCCUGGGGCUCAACCCCAGAAUUGCACUGAAUACUGCCAUGCUAGAGGACUGGAGAGGAGAUUGGAAUUCACGGUGUAGCAGUGAAAUGCGUAGAUAUCGUGAGGAAGACCAGUGGCGAAGGCGAAUCUCUGGACAGUUCCUGACGCUCAUGCACGAAGGCUAGGGGAGCAAACGGG
rnacentral:rRNA from 1 species